UGGCUAUAUCACAUUGAAAUACCAGUUUUCAUAUGAACAUUGAAGUUAAGCAAUGUUGAGCUGGGUCGAUACCUAGAUAGGUGAGCACUUGGGAAUACCAGGUGCUGUAAG